AGCCUUAUAGUCAAAAUAUGAUGUUAGACUGCAAUUCUGAAGUAGUAGUAUUAUUCUACUAAGGCUU
rnacentral:tRNA from 1 species